GAUGAACGCUGGCGGCGUGCCUAAUACAUGCAAGUCGAGCGAACGGACGAGAAGCUUGCUUCUCUGAUGUUAGCGGCGGACGGGUGAGUAACACGUGGAUAACCUACCUAUAAGACUGGGAUAACUUCGGGAAACCGGAGCUAAUACCGGAUGAUAUUUUGAACCGCAUGGUUCAAAAGUGAAAGACGGUCUUGCUGUCACUUAUAGAUGGAUCCGCGCUGCAUUAGCUAGUUGGUAAGGUAACGGCUUACCAAGGCAACGAUGCAUAGCCGACCUGAGAGGGUGAUCGGCCACACUGGAACUGAGACACGGUCCAGACUCCUACGGGAGGCAGCAGUAGGGAAUCUUCCGCAAUGGGCGAAAGCCUGACGGAGCAACGCCGAGUGAGUGAUGAAGGUCUUCGGAUAGGAAAACUCUGUUAUUAGGGAAGAACAUAUGUGUAAGUAACUGUGCACAUCUUGACGGUACCUAAUCAGAAAGCCACGGCUAACUACGU
rnacentral:rRNA from 1 species